UAUAAAUAUUUUUGUUAAAGCACCUUUAAAAAACGAACAUUUUGAUUUGACCGCAAGGCAAAUUAUUAAAAUAUUUCUCACUGAAAUUAUUCAUAUAUCAACAUAUAUCACUGUCUAUUUAAAACUGAAAAAUGUCAGCAAAAAUUUCCAAUAAAAAAUUAGUAGAUUCUUACAGAAGUAAGUUGCAAGAUUGUAAAAAUGUGGAAGUCGCAAAUGUGGAAUUAUAAGUAAAAAAAGAAAAAGAUCAGAAGACGAUGAAGAAACAGAAUUAGAGGAAGAUGCUGAAUCGAUUUCUCACGGCACAUCUAUAUUUUCUCUUUGCAAAAACAGAAGCGGUUAUUAAUGCAUUUAUGCCAUUUUCCGUAUGCUAAUGUGUUUUAUAUAGAAUAUGUUAUGUGUAUGAAACGCAUGCACAUAUGAAAACCAGCGUGAAGGCAUUGAAAAACGCUUCUGUACAAAGAAUAAAUCUUUAGAAAGCACUAUCUAAAAUCAUAAUUAUCGAUUUAAAAAGAAACCUAUUACGUAUUCGUAUAUGCUAAUUAGCGUAUAUGUGGAAUUAGCUCCUACGAUGACGUAUUGCUUUUAAAUAUUAAAAUUCCAUUUACCCCCACCGGGAAUUCGCAGACACCGCGCUCGUAACGAGCACGAUCCCUUUGCUCUCAACUCUCAGUCUUACGCGAUACAUUGAAAGGAACACAGUUUGAUAUAUUGAUAAUUUGUGCAGUUACUUAGAAAAAGGCUUAGACAGCCACGCGUUCUAAAGCAUAGAAGUAGCAAGCCUCGUCGGAUUUGUUUGCUGCUCCUAUGCCGGAUCUAGUGCAGCGUAAUGAUAAGACUGUAAAGUAUAAAGAAGUUUAAGAAUGAUAUUAUUAUAAAAUAUUACCAAAAUUAAUGUUUUACCGUGAAACAUUCAUUAAUAUGAUUGUGCUGACGGAAUAUUUAAUGGGCGGAUACUUGUAUCUAGAGGUUCUCCAAGAAAAACUGUGUUCAGAGCUGGUUGGAAUGAAGCAUCAUAUUUUGCUGCGUGCCAAGAGUGCUGGUAAUGGAUACACCUUAAGUGUGCGUGAAUGAAUUUGGCGUCAACAAUGUGCAAGAUUUAAUACCAAAUGGACUUAAUAUAGUUAUUGUUAUAGAAGAGACCAAACUCGAAUAUAUUAGAGGCUCGUGUGUCAAAUAAAAAUAAUUGGAGCCAUUCGUAAGCACUACAGGUCGAACGCAUUCUUGGAAGACUUUUAUGAUAUACUGAAACUACUGAUUUCCAUAUUUAAUGAACAAGGAUUUGAACUAUAGAUCAGCAGCUUGCCUAAUGUAGAUAUCGAGGAUCUUAAAGCAAAUAUUGAGCAUCAUAAAUACACUGCUACGUCUUUACAGAUUCAAUAGUUCUGGCGUGCAUUACGAGGUUUAGAUCAAGCGGAUCAUGCGAAGUUCUUACAAUUCGCUCCUGGUACGUUCAAAGUGCCGUUACAAGGUUUCGCCGCGUUGGAAGGCACGGACGGUGUACAAAAGUUCCAAAUUCACAGAGAAGAUAGGUCAACAGACAGGCUUCCAUCUGCACAUACUUGUUUCAGUCAACUGGAUCUGCCAGUGUACGGGGCGUAUGAUAAACUUCAUACAAAUCUACUCGAGGCGUUUCAUGAAUGCAGCGAAGGAUUUGGAUUUGCAUAAGCUUGUUGGAGCGCUAUUGUGUAGCAGUUUUUCACACAUGUGUUGUCCAGCCUGUUCGGAGUAAACAGUUAUAAGAAUGUCAUUCAAUCGAUGACAUUCUAAUGACACGCUUGGUCUUCGUUCAAGAUCCAUUGAAAAAUUUGUUUAACUUGAUAUAUACACGGAAAAAACAAACAUGAUUGAAUUAACAAGCUAUAUUUAGUUAUACAAAUUUUGGUAGGUGUUUCAUUGAAAGCUUAUACGGUUUAUACAAACAAAGUGAUGCAUAAAAAAUGAAUAAGAAGACGUCGGACUUACUUCGUGAAUGGGGAUUUAAAGAAUAUAUUGAAAUCUUCAAAGGCAUAUGAAAUUUUCGUACUCGUAGUAUACAUCCAAACACAGCCCAUGUCUCACACAACCAUGUACUAAAAGCGUGUUCCAUUUAAAGCUCGCAACGGUUCCAAGCACUAUUUGUCUGUUUAAGAUUUGAUAAACUACAAGGAUGAAAUGAUACGUAGCGAAUGUUAAGUGAAAUACGCCCUAAGCAAUCUAGUUUUGCAUUUUUUAAUAUUAUUAAAUUAAAGCUAUUAAUUUUAUAGACAACGAAAUUGAUUAUGAAGCUAUGAUAAUUAUGAAGGCCGAAUCCGAUUUUCAAAAUAUAAUACCAAAGGCAGGGCCUAGAGCCAAGUUUUGUCAUAAACUUGAAAUUCACAAGCUUAAGUUGCUAUCU